UGAUGUGUUGCUCAGUCAGUAGAGCGUCCGCCUCACAACCGGGAGGUCGUGGGUUCAAACCCCGACCGCGUCA
rnacentral:tRNA from 1 species